GUGGGUUGUGUAGUGUGUCUCUUAAGUCUCCUACCAGCUGAUUAUUAAUGGCAACUUGAGUCAGACUUUCUAUCCAGCCAGGGGUCUUAGGCAAGGAGAUCCUCUAUCCCCGUAUUUAUUCCUCUUAGUCUCUGAAGUGUUAUCUUUGGCUAUUCAUAAUGCUCAUUCUCUUCGUAGACUUUCAGAAGUUAAAAUUAACAGAAAUUGUCCUGCCAUCACACAUCCAUUCUUUGCAGAUGAUUCCUAUGUUUUCACAGAAGCAAACAUUGAGUAAGGAGGUCUGAUCCUGGAAAUCCUCCACCAAUAUGGCCAAGCUUCAGGACAACAGGUUGAGGAUGGAAGUGAAGAGAGCUUCCUCUCCAAAAUCAAUCGACUGUUCUCUGCAUAAAAAGUUGGUGGACAAGCCUUUCUUGCAAAGAUGGCUGGUGUGUGAGGGGUGUAUUGCUAUGACUGAUGGAAGCUUUGGAGCAGGCUGUAGUGCUUUUGGUUUUUGUGUUUCUGUUAACAAAAAACACUUAUUUUUUUGCUAAAUGUGGACCUUGUAAAGUGUUGUCUGCUCUCUAUGCAGAGGCCACAACAGUUCAAGAGUGUGUUUUGUUCCUUUA